AUUGAACGCUGGCGGCAUGCUUUACACAUGCAAGUCGAACGGUAACAGGUCUUCGGAUGCUGACGAGUGGCGAACGGGUGAGUAAUGCAUCGGAACGUGCCCAGUCGUGGGGGAUAACGCAGCGAAAGCUGCGCUAAUACCGCAUACGAUCUAUGGAUGAAAGCGGGGGACCGUAAGGCCUCGCGCGAUUGGAGCGGCCGAUGUCAGAUUAGGUAGUUGGUGGGGUAAAGGCCCACCAAGCCAACGAUCUGUAGCUGGUCUGAGAGGACGACCAGCCACACUGGGACUGAGACACGGCCCAGACUCCUACGGGAGGCAGCAGUGGGGAAUUUUGGACAAUGGGCGCAAGCCUGAUCCAGCAAUGCCGCGUGCAGGAAGAAGGCCUUCGGGUUGUAAACUGCUUUUGUACGGAACGAAACGGCUCUCUCUAAUACAGAGGGCUAAUGACGGUACCGUAAGAAUAAGCACCGGCUAACUACGUGCCAGCAGCCGCCGUAACAC
rnacentral:rRNA from 1 species